rnacentral:rRNA from 1 species
CGCACGACUCUCGGCAAUGGAUAUCUCGGCUCUCGCAUCGAUGAAGAACGUAGCGAAAUGCGAUACCUGGUGUGAAUUGCAGAAUCCCGUGAACCACCGAGUCUUUGAACGCAAGUUGCGCCCGAGGCCACCCGACCGAGGGCACGCCUGCCUGGGCGUCACGC